UCAGGCCUAACACAUGCAAGUCGAGGGGUAGAACAUUUCGGUGUUUGAGACCGGCGCACGGGUGCGUAACGCGUAUGCAACCUACCUUUUACAGGGGAAUAGCCCAGAGAAAUUUGGAUUAAUGCCCCAUGGUAUAUUUAGAUGGCAUCAUCUGAUUAUUAAAGUUCCAACGGUAAAAGAUGGGCAUGCGUCCUAUUAGCUAGAUGGUAAGGUAACGGCUUACCAUGGCAACGAUAGGUAGGGGUCCUGAGAGGGAGAUCCCCCACACUGGUACUGAGACACGGACCAGACUCCUACGGGAGGCAGCAGUGAGGAAUAUUGGACAAUGGGCGCAAGCCUGAUCCAGCCAUGCCGCGUGCAGGAAGAAGCAUCUAUGGUGUGAAGCUGCUUUUGUACGGGAAGAAACACUCCUACGGUAGGAGCUGAC
rnacentral:rRNA from 1 species